GAUGAGUGAGAAUCUCAUCCACCGAAUGCCUAAGGUUUCCUGAGGAAGGCUCGUCCGCUCAGGGUUAGUCGGGACCUAAGCCGAGGCCGAAAGGCGUAGGCGAUGGACAACAGGUUGAUAUUCCUGUACCACCUCUUUAUCGUUUGAGCAAUGGGGGGACGCAGGAGGAUAGGGUAAGCGCACUGCUGGAUAUGUGCGUGUAAGCAGUUAGGCUGGUGAAUAGGAAAAUCCGUUCACUGUUAAGGCUGAGCUGUGAUGCCGAGGGAAAUAUAGUACCGAAGUUCCUGAUUCCACACUGCCAAGAAAAGCCUCUAGCGAGAUGAAAGGUGCCCGUACCGCAAACCGACACAGGUAGGCGAGGAGAGAAUCCUAAGGUGAGCGAGAGAACUCUCGUUAAGGAACUCGGCAAAAUGACCCCGUAACUUCGGGAGAAGGGGUGCUCUUUGGGGUGAAUAGCCUCGAAGAGCCGCAGUGAAUAGGCCCAGGCGACUGUUUAGCAAAAACACAGGUCUCUGCGAAGCCGCAAGGCGAAGUAUAGGGGCUGACGCCUGCCCGGUGCUGGAAGGUUAAGAGGAGGGGUUAGUGCAAACGAAGCUCUGAAUCGAAGCCCCAGUAAACGGCGGCCGUAACAAUAACGGUCCUAAGGUAGC
rnacentral:rRNA from 1 species